GCCGAGGUGGUGAAAUUGGUAGACACGCUAGCUUCAGGUGCUAGUGAGCUUUGGCUCGUGGAGGUUCAAGUCCUCUCCUCGGCACCA
rnacentral:tRNA from 2 species